rnacentral:rRNA from 1 species
CCUACGGGAGGCAGCAGUGAGGAAUAUUGGUCAAUGGCCGAGAGUCUGAACCAGCCAAGUAGCGUGAAGGAUGACUGCCCUAUGGGUUGUAAACUUCUUUUAUAGAGGAAUAAAACGAGGCACGUGUCCCUUCUCGAGUGUACUUUAUGAAUAAGCAUCGGCUAACUCCGUGCCAACAGCCGCGGUAAUACGGAGGAUUCGAGCGUUAUCCGGAUUUGUUGGGUUUAAAGGGAGCGUAGAUGGGUUGUGAAGUCAGUUGUGAAAGUUUGCGGCUCAACCGUAAAAUUGCAAUUGAUACUGGGAGUCUUGAGUACAGUUGAAGUAGGCGGAAUUCGUGGUGUAGCGGUGAAAUGCUUAGAUAUCACGAAGAACCCCGAUUGCGAAGGCAGCUUACUAAACUGUGACUGACACUGAUGCACGAAAGUGUGGGUAUCGAACAGGAUUAGAUACCCCAGUAGUC